GACGAACGCUGGCGGCGUGCUUAACACAUGCCAGUCGAACGCUGAAGCUUGGUGCUUGCACUGGGUGGAUGAGUGGCGAACGGGUGAGUAAUACGUGAGUAACCUGCCCUUGACUCUGGGAUAAGCCUGGGAAACUGGGUCUAAUACUGGAUAUGACAUGCCACUGCAUGGUGGUGUGUGGAAAGGGUUUUACUGGUUUUGGAUGGGCUCACGGCCUAUCAGCUUGUUGGUGGGUAAUGGCCUACCAAGGCGACGACGGGUAGCCGGCCUGAGAGGGUGACCGGCCACACUGGGACUGAGACACGGCCCAGACUCCUACGGGAGGCAGCAGUGGGGAAUAUUGCACAAUGGGCGGAAGCCUGAUGCAGCGACGCCGCGUGAGGGAUGACGGCCUUCGGGUUGUAAACCUCUUUCAGCACGGAAGAAGCGAGAGUGACGGUACGUGCAGAAGAAGCGCCGGCUAACUACGUG
rnacentral:rRNA from 1 species